rnacentral:pre_miRNA from 1 species
AGUGGUAUACCUGGGUCAAAUGGUAGUUCCAUUCUAAAUUUUCUGAGGAAUCUCCAUACUUCUUUCCAUAAUGGUUGCACAAAUUUGCAUUCCCACCAGCAAU